UACGUAUGGUGCAAGCGUUAUCCGGAUUUACUGGGUGUAAAGGGAGCGUAGACGGAGAAGCAAGUCUGGAGUGAAAGCCCGGGGCUCAACCCCGGGACUGCUUUGGAAACUGUUAUUCUUGAGUGCCGGAGAGGUAAGCGGAAUUCCUAGUGUAGCGGUGAAAUGCGUAGAUAUUAGGAGGAACACCAGUGGCGAAGGCGGCUUACUGGACGGUAACUGACGUUGAGGCUCGAAAGCGUGGGGAGCAAACAGG
rnacentral:rRNA from 1 species